GUUGAAAUAGCUCAGUUGGGAGAGCGUUAGACUGAAGAUCUAAAGGUCCCUGGUUCGAUCCCGUGGUUGUAAAA